rnacentral:rRNA from 1 species
UACGGAGGGUGCGAGCGUUGUCCGGAAUCACUGGGCGUAAAGGGCGCGUAGGCGGCGCGAGCAGUCAACGGUGAAAGCCCGGAGCUCAACUCCGGGUCGGCCGUCGAUACUCUCGUGCUUGAGCACUGUAGAGGCAGGUGGAAUUCCGGGUGUAGCGGUGGAAUGCGUAGAUAUCAGGAGGAACACCGGUGGUGUAAACGGCUUUCUGGACCAUAACUGACGCUGAGGCACGAAAGCGUGGGUAGCAAACAGG